rnacentral:rRNA from 1 species
AUACGUAGGGGGCGAGCGUUGUCCGGAAUGAUUGGGCGUAAAGGGCGCGUAGGCGGCCCGGUAAGUCUGGAGUGAAAGUCCUGCUUUUAAGGUGGGAAUUGCUUUGGAUACUGUCGGGCUUGAGUGGAGGAGAGGUAAGUGGAAUUCCCAGUGUAGCGGUGAAAUGCGUAGAGAUUGGGAGGAACACCAGUGGCGAAGGCGACUUACUGGACUGUAACUGACGCUGAGGCGCGAAAGUGUGGGGAGCAAACAGGAUUAGAUACCCUGGUAGUCCACACUGUAAACGAUGAAUGCUAGGUGUAGGGGGUAUCGACCCCUUCUGUGCCGCAGUUAACACAAUAAGCAUUCCGCCUGGGGAGUACGGCCGCAAGGUUGAAACUUAAAGGAAUUGACGGGG